CGAAGAAAAACUUUGCAAUGUGCGAAAGCACGACAAGGUUAAUCCGAGUGGUUUCUGCUAAAGGAACCUUUUGCCAGUCCUAGAAACACUGGUGAAUAAGGGGUGGGCAAGUUCUGGUGUCAGCCGCCGCGGUAAAACCAGCACCUCAAGUGGUCAGGAGGAUUAUUGGGCCUAAAGCAUCCGUAGCCUGCUCUGUAAGUUUCCGGUUAAAUCUGUACGACUCAACGUACAGGCUGCCGGAAAUACUGCAGAGCUAGGGAGUGGGAGAGGUAGACGGUACUCGGUAGGAAGGGGUAAAAGUCCUUUGAUCUAUUGAUGACCACCUGUGGCGAAGGCGGUCUACCAGAACACGUCCGACGGUGAGGGAUGAAAGCUGGGGGAGCAAACCGGAUUAGAUACCCGGGUAGUCCCAG
rnacentral:rRNA from 2 species